AGUCGAGCGAAGCUUUUCAGUAGUUUACUACAGAAAAUGACUGAGCGGCGAACGGGUGAGUAACGCGUGAGCAAUCUACCUUAGUUACAGGGAUAGCCCGAGGAAACUCGGAUUAAUACCUGAUAUUCUUUAUAUUUCGCAUGAAAUUAAAAGGAAAGGUCAGCCGAACUAAGAUGAGCUCGCGUUCUAUCAGCUAGUUGGUGAGGUAAAAGCUCACCAAGGCUACGACGGAUAGCUGGUCUGAGAGGACGAUCAGCCACACCGGGACUGAGACACGGCCCAGACUCCUACGGGAGGCCGCAGCAGGGAAUAUUGUGCAAUGAACGAAAGUUUGACACAGCGACACCGCGUGUGGGAUGACGGAUCUAGGUUUGUAAACCACUUUCAGGAGGGAAGAAAAUGACGGUACCUCCACAAGAAGCCCCGGCCAACUACGUGCCAGCAGCCGCGGUAAUACGUAGGGGGCGAGCGUUGUCCGGAUUUAUUGGGCGUAAAGAGCUCGUAGGCGGUUCAACAAGUCGUUCGUGAAAGUUCAGGGCUCAACCCUGAAAUAUCGAUCGAUACUGUUGUGACUAGGAUACGGUAGAGGUGAGUGGAAUUCCGAGUGUAGCGGUGAAAUGCGUAGAUAUUCGGAGGAACACCAAUUGCGAAGGCAGCUCACUGGGCCGCUAUCGACGCUGAGGAGCGAAAGCUAGGGGAGCAAACAGGAUUAGAUACCCUGGUAGUCCUAGCUGUAAACGAUGGAUACUAGACGUAGGAACUGGAUUGACGGUUUCUGUGUCGCA
rnacentral:rRNA from 1 species